AGCGCAGGCGGGAAGACAAGUUGGAAGUGAAAUCCAUGGGCUCAACCCAUGAACUGCUUUCAAAACUGUUUUUCUUGAGUAGUGCAGAGGUAGAUGGAAUUCCCGGUGUAGCGGUGGAAUGCGUAGAUAUCGGGAGGAACACCAGUGGCGAAGGCGGUCUACUGGGCACCAACUGACGCUGAGGCUCGAAAGCAUGGGGAGCGAACA
rnacentral:rRNA from 1 species